rnacentral:piRNA from 1 species
UCGACAGAUGUUUAUGAUUUU